rnacentral:rRNA from 1 species
AGUAGGUGGGGUAACGGCUCACCUAGGCGACGAUCCCUAGCUGGUCUGAGAGGAUGACCAGCCACACUGGAACUGAGACACGGUCCAGACUCCUACGGGAGGCAGCAGUGGGGAAUAUUGCACAAUGGGCGCAAGCCUGAUGCAGCCAUGCCGCGUGUAUGAAGAAGGCCUUCGGGUUGUAAAGUACUUUCAGCGGGGAGGAAGGGAGUAAAGUUAAUACCUUUGCUCAUUGACGUUACCCGCAGAAGAAGCACCGGCUAACUCCGUGCCAGCAGCCGCGGUAAUACGGAGGGUGCAAGCGUUAAUCGGAAUUACUGGGCGUAAAGCGCACGCAGGCGGUUUGUUAAGUCAGAUGUGAAAUCCCCGGGCUCAACCUGGGAACUGCAUCUGAUACUGGCAAGCUUGAGUCUCGUAGAGGGGGGUAGAAUUCCAGGUGUAGCGGUGAAAUGCGUAGAGAUCUGGAGGAAUACCGGUGGCGAAGGCGGCCCCCUGGACGAAGACUGACGCUCAGGUGCGAAAGCGCGGGGAGCAAACAGGAUUAGAUACCCUGGUAGUCCACGCCGUAAACGAUGUCGACUUGGAGGUUGUGCCCUUGAGGCGUGGCUUCCGGAGCUAACGCGUUAAGUCGACCGCCUGGGGAGUACGGCCGCAAGGUUAAAACUCAAAUGAAUUGACGGGGGCCCGCACAAGCGGUGGAGCAUGUGGUUUAAUUCGAUGCAACGCGAAGAACCUUACCUGGUCUUGACAUCCACGGAAGUUUUCAGAGAUGAGAAUGUGCCUUCGGGAACCGUGAGACAGGUGCUGCAUGGCUGUCGUCAGCUCGUGUUGUGAAAUGUUGGGUUAAGUCCCGCAACGAGCGCAACCCUUAUCCUUUGUUGCCAGCGGUCCGGCCGGGAACUCAAAGGAGACUGCCAGUGAUAAACUGGAGGAAGGUGGGGAUGACGUCAA